AGGGGUCACAUACAAAAGGAGCAUGACCUGAUCAAUAACUUGGAUCAUAUUCAAAUUAUUAAUCGGAUUGAUAUUUUGAAUUUUAGAAACUGCUAAUUUAUCAUCGUUACAGUUUUGACAGCUGCUAAUUAUUAACAUAGAGACUUAAUUACAAAUAUUAUAAUUUUACUGAGGCUGAUUAAAUUAUAGAUUAAGUUUUAAUUAAUUUAAAUUAAAUUUAUUUUAAUUAGAUUGAAUCUAAUUUAAUGCUAAUUGGGUUCAAUUAUCCAAAUCAGAUUU
rnacentral:lncRNA from 1 species